GGUGGUCAGGUAGAGAAUACCAAGGCGCUUGAGAGAACUCGGGUGAAGGAACUAGGCAAAAUGGUGCCGUAACUUCGGGAGAAGGCACGCUGACACGUAGGUGAAGUGAUUUACUCAUGGAGCUGAAGUCAGUCGAAGAUACCAGCUGGCUGCAACUGUUUAUUAAAAACACAGCACUGUGCAAACACGAAAGUGGACGUAUACGGUGUGACGCCUGCCCGGUGCCGGAAGGUUAAUUGAUGGGGUCAGCGUAAGCGAAGCUCCUGAUCGAAGCCCCGGUAAACGGCGGCCGUAACUAUAACGGUCCUAAGGUAGCGAAAUUCCUUGUCGGGUAAGUUCCGACCUGCACGAAUGGCGUAAUGAUGGCCAGGCUGUCUCCACCCGAGACUCAGUGAAAUUGAACUCGCUGUGAAGAUGCAGUGUACCCGCGGCAAGACGGAAAGACCCCGUGAACCUUUACUAUAGCUUGACACUGAACAUUGAGCCUUGAUGUGUAGGAUAGGUGGGAGGCUUUGAAGUGUGGACGCCAGUCUGCAUGGAGCCGACCUUGAAAUACCACCCUUUAAUGUUUGAUGUUCUAACGUGGACCCGUAAUCCGGGUUGCGGACAGUGUCUGGUGGGUAGUUUGACUGGGGCGGUCUCCUCCUAAAGAGUAACGGAGGAGCACGAAGGUUGGCUAAUCCUGGUCGGACAUCAGGAGGUUAGUGCAAUGGCAUAAGCCAGCUUGACUGCGAGCGUGACGGCGCGAGCAGGUGCGAAAGCAGGUCAUAGUGAUCCGGUGGUUCUGAAUGGAAGGGCCAUCGCUCAACGGAUAAAAGGUACUCCGGGGAUAACAGGCUGAUACCGCCCAAGAGUUCAUAUCGACGGCGGUGUUUGGCACCUCGAUGUCGGCUCAUCACAUCCUGGGGCUGAAGUAGGUCCCAAGGGUAUGGCUGUUCGCCAUUUAAAGUGGUACGCGAGCUGGGUUUAGAACGUCGUGAGACAGUUCGGUCCCUAUCUGCCGUGGGCGCUGGAGAACUGAGGGGGGCUGCUCCUAGUACGAGAGGACCGGAGUGGACGCAUCACUGGUGUUCGGGUUGUCAUGCCAAUGGCACUGCCCGGUAGCUAAAUGCGGAAGAGAUAAGUGCUGAAAGCAUCUAAGCACGAAACUUGCCCCGAGAUGAGUUCUCCCUGAGACUUUAGGUCUCCUGAAGGAACGUUGAAGACGACGACGUUGAUAGGCCGGGUGUGUAAGCGCAGCGAUGCGUUGAGCUAACCGGUACUAAUGAACCGUGAGGCUUAACCUUACAACGCCGAAGCUGUU
rnacentral:rRNA from 1 species